UCUCAUUUUACAGAUGUGAUACCUCUGCCUUGGGAAACACAGGCGGCCCUUCCAAGGGCGCAUGGCUGGCGACAGGCAGGGCUGAUGUCUGAGCCCAAGGAACGUGACCCCACGGCCCAGCUCCCCACUGUUUCCGGGGCUUCCGGGCAGGGCUGAGUGGGAUGGGACUUCAUGUACAUUCACCUGCUUACCCCUCUUGGCAACCCCAGGAGAGGGGCUGGUGUUUGGAUCCCAUUUUACAGCUGGGGAAACUGAGCCUCACAGAGGUGAAGCCACGGGAUGUGAUGGAGGCCGAUCCUGGGUCCAAGGAAGUUCACUCGCCACUCUGUCUUCCCACCAGCGCGGGACUCUGCGCCUCCCUCUGCAUCGCCUGAGGACCUCACAGGCUCCAUCAGAUAGCCGGUCCUUGUCAGGUCCCUAGGGGCACCGAGGUGCAGAGGGGACAGCUUCAGCGCAGGCAACCUCCAGGACCACGGGGCCUCCAUGCAGUCGUGGUCGUGCCAAGCCUGGCUCGGGAGGCAGAGAGAAGGACCAUGAGCAGCCAAUUCUGAGAGAAGCCAGCCUGGGUGCCAGUUCCCACGCCCUCCUUUGGACAUCUCCCACCUGUGCGUCCUGUGCGCAUGGCAGCAGGAACAGAAUCGAGACUGAAUCCAGUCCUGUCCCUCCUCCAAGGCUUGCGCUUAGCGGGUCUGAGUUAAGGUCAGGGACACCUCUCUGCUUCCCCAUGGGGGGCCUCAGUGACCAGCCAGCCCCUGCCCCAUCCCCACGGCCCAGCAGGCAGUUUGCACGUUGCAGCCCAGGAGAGAGGACUGGGCUCCCCCCAAACAGACUCACCUCACCCAGGAAGCUGCCAGCCCAGAGCUGGUUCUGUCUGCCCUCGGUCUCCUCGUGGCGGUCUCGGGAUCGAGAAGCGGCGGCUUGCGGAGACUCCGGUGGACCAGACUUCUGCGCGUGCGUGGCGUGGAGUCCUCCCAUUGGCCCAGGCAGGUCCACAUUCUGGGGCUGUAACGGGGCCGGGAUUGGCUCUAGGGACACUGGACACAUCCUUCUUGGUGAAGAAAAGGACAGACCUAUCAGACACGGGACGGCGGAAACCAGCUUUGCCG
rnacentral:lncRNA from 9 species